rnacentral:lncRNA from 1 species
CCUCUCGCACGGGGGAAUUGAAAACUGGAGAAAGGAAGCGCGGGAUGGGUCACUUUCUCUUCCUCUCCCGGCGGAACUGAAAAGUGGAGAAAGCAAGUGGAGCUGGAGGUGAUCAGAUCCGGUUUGACGGCGGGGUUGUGCUUUUUAAGAUGGUGGGUUACGCGUUCCCGUUAACGGGAACGGCAUCCCAGACGGGGCCGUUAAGC